UACGAGGGGGGCGAGCGUUGUUCGGAAUUACUGGGCGUAAAGCGUGCGCAGGCGGUUUUGUAAGCCAGAUGUGAAAUCCCCGGGCUUAACCUGGGAAUGGCAUUUGGGACUGCAAGGCUUGAGUGCGGCAGAGGAGACUGGAAUUCCUGGUGUAGCAGUGAAAUGCGUAGAUAUCAGGAGGAACACCGAUGGCGAAGGCAGGUCUCUGGGCUGACAC
rnacentral:rRNA from 1 species